CCGACUCAUAAUCAAUGUGACUGAAACACUAAGGAGCGCUCUGCUGGACUCCCUCGACAAGAGCCCUAGAUACAGAGGAGAUCAAACCCAGAGAGCAGAGUGGAGUGGAGAGCUUUCAUAACGACGGGAACAAUCCACAAGCCCCGCUGUCGAAGGAUUACUGGUGUUAUGAGAUGGAUGCCACCUAACCUCAAUAUGCAAAUGCCUACUGGCUCCUACAGAGAACGGCAUGCUGGGAAACUCCCUGGUGUUGGGUUCCUCUGGAGGAGCAGG